GGGGACAUAGCUCAGCCUUAGAGCGCUCAAUUACCAUGGGAGAGGUCUGCAGUUCGACUCCCUAUGUCUCCA
rnacentral:tRNA from 1 species